GCAUAGCUCAGUUGGUAAAGCAUGAGGCUUUUAAUCUCAGGGUUGUGGAUUUGAGCCCCACAUGGGGCA